rnacentral:rRNA from 1 species
CUGCCGCGUGAGUGAUGAAGGCCUUAGGGUUGUAAAGCUCUUUCGGCGGGGACGAUAAUGACGGUACCCGCAGAAGAAGCCCCGGCUAACUUCGUGCCAGCAGCCGCGGUAAUACGAAGGGGGCUAGCGUUGUUCGGAAUCACUGGGCGUAAAGGGCGCGUAGGCGGCUUGAUAAGUCGGGGGUGAAAGCCUGUGGCUCAACCACAGAAUUGCCUUCGAUACUGUCUGGCUUGAGACCGGAAGAGGUAAGUGGAACUGCGAGUGUAGAGGUGAAAUUCGUAGAUAUUCGCAAGAACACCAGUGGCGAAGGCGGCUUACUGGUCCGGUUCUGACGCUGAGGCGCGAAAGCGUGGGGAGCAAACAGGAUUAGAUACCCUGGUAGUCCACGCCGUAAACGAUGGAUGCUAGCCGUUGGCGAGCUUGCUCGUCAGUGGCGCAGCUAACGCUUUAAGCAUCCCGCCUGGGGAGUACGGUCGCAAGAUUAAAACUCAAAGGAAUUGACGG